rnacentral:rRNA from 1 species
AAAUUGAAGAGUUUGAUCAUGGCUCAGAUUGAACGCUGGCGGCAGGCCUAACACAUGCAAGUCGAACGGUAACAGGAAACAGCUUGCUGUUUCGCUGACGAGUGGCGGACGGGUGAGUAAUGUCUGGGAAACUGCCCGAUGGAGGGGGAUAACUACUGGAAACGGUAGCUAAUACCGCAUAACGUCGCAAGACCAAAGAGGGGGACCUUCGGGCCUCUUGCCAUCGGAUGUGCCCAGAUGGGAUUAGCUAGUAGGUGGGGUAACGGCUCACCUAGGCGACGAUCCCUAGCUGGUCUGAGAGGAUGACCAGCCACACUGGAACUGAGACACGGUCCAGACUCCUACGGGAGGCAGCAGUGGGGAAUAUUGCACAAUGGGCGCAAGCCUGAUGCAGCCAUGCCGCGUGUAUGAAGAAGGCCUUCGGGUUGUAAAGUACUUUCAGCGGGGAGGAAGGGAGUAAAGUUAAUACCUUUGCUCAUUGACGUUACCCGCAGAAGAAGCACCGGCUAACUCCGUGCCAGCAGCCGCGGUAAUACGGAGGGUGCAAGCGUUAAUCGGAAUUACUGGGCGUAAAGCGCACGCAGGCGGUUUGUUAAGUCAGAUGUGAAAUCC